GCGGGAAUAGCUCAGCUGGUAGAGCAUCAGCCUUCCAAGCUGGUGGUCGCGGGUUCGAAUCCCGUUUCCCGCU
rnacentral:tRNA from 1 species